rnacentral:misc_RNA from 1 species
ACGAGUUAGGGUCUCUCUGGCCCGACCUCCCAACCCUUUGUCUACUUGACCAUCGUUGCUUCGGCGAGCCCGUCCUCACGGACCGCCGGAGGGAUCUUUACUGGCCCUCUGGUCCGCGCUCGUCGGUAGCCCAACCUUUAAAAUCUUUAACUAAACGUGCCUUAAUCUGAGUACUAUAUAAUAGUUA